UAUUUAGCAAAUUUGUUUUUGGAUCCUGGCUGAACCUUCUAGGAAAAUACCACAGUGAGGAUCAUAUAUGCACCUCUGCAGGGACUCUGGAAGCAUAACCUAACAAAUGUGUGGGGUCAACUGGUUUCCCAAAGGGACGCUACUGAGAAGCUGGCUCACCAAGUCGCGGCCCAGAUUGCUGCUGCUGAUCGCAGGGUUGAAGAGGCCUCAGGUGACCCUCAUGAGGAGGAAAAGAAUGAAGCGCACGAAAGUAGCAAAGGCCACGUAAGCGAUCCUGCAACCGAAUCCCCCACUUCACCUGAGUCCUUCACAGAAAGGAGCUUCUUAGCAAUGGAAGAGAAAGAAAAGGACAACCUGCACGCUGCGUAUUCACUCCAACUAAGAACUAGAAUCCGAAAGUCACAACGAGUAAUGAAGCAGAAGAGUGAACAACAGAUUCCAAGACCUCCAGGCUAAUCAAACGUUCUCCAAACACACACAAUUGUCUCAUGACUGUGGCUUGUUCAUUAUUCCCAUCUAAAAAAAAUGUUGCUAAAUAACCCAGCUGUCUCUCUCAGGUUAGAGCCCAGACCUGAUGCUGAUUAAACACUCUGCUACAUUCUUCUGUCGCCUUCUUGCUCACAUGCUCGGUGUAACACACUCCAACAAGCACAUGCACCCCAGAAUGAAAACCUAUGUUAAAACAAUACUUAUACAUUUUGUGAAACAGGGAUAAAAUGAACUUCAUUAUGUGUGCCUUCAUUUGCAUCCAGCUAAUUCUGUUGGGGGUUGAGGUGUGUUAAGUUUCUAUUUUUUUUUUUCAUUAUUUUAUUUCCAUAAAGGCAGUUUUGAACCACA